rnacentral:rRNA from 1 species
AGAUUGAACGCUGGCGGCAUGCCUAACACAUGCAAGUCGAACGGGAGUAGCAGUACUCUAGUGGCGGACGGGUGAGGAAUACGUAGGAAUUUGCCCUUAAGUGGGGGAUAACCCGGGGAAACCCGGAUUAAUACCGCAUGACCUCGAAAGAGCAAAGUGGGGGAUCGCAAGACCUCACGCUUUUGGAGAAGCCUACGUCGGAUUAGCUAGUUGGUGAGGUAUGGCUCACCAAGGCGACG